AUCAUCCCCAGGAGGAAGAUGAGGCCGUAGGCCACGGGCAUGAACACGGCCUUGAAGGAGGACAGGAGGGGCCCCUCCGCUGUGGAGCAGAGCUGCAGGUUUCGACUGUAAACGGGACUGAUUCCUCGCGGGGUGGUGACGAAGAUGGAAGGAGAUACGUGGUGCGUUUGGUAGGGAGAGGCUUCACGGACUCUAAAGGGCUGUGCACCUGUUAGGUGCUUUGAGUUUACGUGUCCUCGGGUAGGGAAGGCCGCCGGCUCACGGCAUGGAAUUGGAACUUCAGUUUUGGAAAUGGGUCUGGUUGGGGCAAGGGGCCGUCUGCUCCAAUUCCCAACAGAGCAGCGGGCGCUAAAACCUAAGAUCCUGCUGAGGGGGCAGCUGCUGGUGUGGCCUACGGGCUUCCUCUUGAUGCGUCUCCCUGUUCCUGAAUGUCUUCACUGUAGCUGAAAUUGUAGCGCUAGCCUCCUGCUUUGUUCACUCCGCAUAACAAGCUCAGAGGUCCUGGCACUGCCUUCGUCCUGAUUGUCUAAUAAGCGCCUUCUGAAGACGGAUCCCACAUCCGCAUUAGUCUUCUCCUCUUCAAAAUACACAUUCUGCGUGUCUCCAGUCAUUCUUCAGAGAACGUGAUUUCUGAGUCUCUCAUCAGCCUCUGGGUGAUUUCUGGUUAUCGGUCCACAUAUUACCUGUCUAGGACAAAACAUACAAAGCCUCCCGCUCCCCUUGACAACGUGCCUAACAAACUUCAUUUUGGUGGUUCUCCUGCAUCAUCUCAGCCUGUGAAGGGCAACUUUUCAAAUCCUGAUUCUGUCAUCUGAUGAUGUGUUAACGACAUAGUCUCCCAAGCCCCACACCCUGGGCAGCCUACCCAAGGCUGAAUUAUUUUCCAGGCUUCUCAUCAAAAUGACCGCUGUGGUUAGCUCAGGUGAGUCUUUCUCCGCUAUUUGACUUCACAGUUCGUGGAUUAGGUUACAUUUCUGUUUAUUUCAGACACCAGAUACAAUCACUUGUCUUAGAGUUCAUUUCCCACAUUCCACAGAAAAAUUAAGCUGUUCUGCAGAGGGUGGGGUGCAGGGAAUGGGUUGGGGUUUUUUCCUGAGACGCUGUCUUCUCUGAUCUGGACAGAGGUCUUGUUGUCUUCUUUCUACGAGUUUUUCCCAGCUGUUCAGAACAGAGCUCCCCAGGUCUCCCCCCUCUCAUCCCCCACCCCCGACCAGUGAGUGGACCUUGGGGGAGCACUGGGCAUCUCUCUAGGCACCAAAAGAGAACAACAAUGACAUUUGCCUAGCAUUUACCGUUGUACAAAGCUCUGCAAUUUUGACAUUUCAUUUCGCUUCAUAUUUAACUUCAUUUCGCAUUUAAUCCUAUUUAAUCCUCAAAACACCUUGUGUGGGAGGUAUUGGCAUCAUCCCUGACCAUAUUUUGGGACAGGGGUGGGGGGCGAAGAAACAGAGGCUCGGGUCCUCGCUCAUGAAUGAUUACAGGGAGAGUAAUUGGCGGAGUGAGGGUCGGAAGCAACCCUGCGGACCCCAGACCUGAGGAUCUCUCCCCAGGCCACACAACCUUCUCUCAGAGAUUGUUUUGCAAAGGAUAGGUAGGCACUCAUCUGGCUCUCCGAGGAGAAAACUCUGCCUACACCCUUUAUGGGCUGUUCGUCAGGUACUUUCUAUGUGCCACGAGCUGUGCUAAAUUCACACACAUUAUUUCCUUCCAUCCUCUGAAGACUCAUAAGGUGUUAAGGUAUUUUUGUCACAUUAUCACACACGUGGAAAUUGAACUUCAAGCACUAGUAGGAAGUAGUUGUGAGUGUUAACAGCUCACUCAGGCACCAGGGACCCAAAAGCACAAUACAAAUCAACACAGGAAGUGGGGUGGUAAAGAUUCUCAGUGGCGGCACCCACGCAUAGCUCCUCUCUCAUUAGGUAACAGGUAGGUGUCCUGGGGGGAGGAAAUGGGUUGCAGGUGCUGGUAGGCACAUCAAGGUUAUCUCAAGGUUACAGGGGCCAUGAGUGUGCUUGGGAACCUCGGCCUACGGGUGGGCUGUGUGGCCAGGGUUAGAGAGGGAGUCAGGUGCUUGGUCAGGUGUUUGUGUACUAUGAGCUGAACCCCUACCAGAGGGGAAAUGUGAAGAUCAAGGGUGGCGGGAUUCAGCCUCUGCCCUGGGAGGACUUUGUCGGACGGAGAAGGCAGAACAGAUACACCUAUGCAAGUUUGCACUCUCACAUACACGUGCAACUUGAGAACAUUUGCAGAGCCGUAAAUAUGAAUGUACCGUAUCCACGAACCCGGUGCGGGCCGAGGCUAGCAGUGUGGAAGGUGACCGAGUAAGAAGGGUAAACCCACCGUUCCCACCCACCUAAGUGCAGCACGGGAAUGUGCCACGGAAACUGUGGAAACAACACUGGGUUUUAUAUCACAAGACCCAGAUUGGAGGCCCAGCACUUCUGGUUUCCGACAAGGCUGCUUUUGGACCAGACCCUGCAUCGCUGUUCUCAGACGCAGCAGAGAACGCCAAACGGCACCCCCGGGGAAAAGAGUUCUCGAAUGUUAUGCCUCAGAAUCACCUGGAGGGUUUGUUAAACGCAGAUUGCUGUCCGCCCCCCCCACCCCCCCGCCAGAGUUCUACUUCUAGAGGUCAGGGGUGGGACCUGAGAAGUCUCAGUUCUAACAAGUGUCCGGGUGAGGCUGGGUCACCAACCCGGGAACACGCUUUGAGAACCGCUUCCUAGUCUACACAGGAUGGGCACACGGGAUGGCUUGCCCCGACACAGCCGGUGUCCCAGCCUGGGGUUCCCAACCCACCCCACCACCGCUCUCAGCCUCUUCACACAGAUGCUGCCACAGCUGAGGCCUCUCUAGAACAACGGCUAACACCUCACGCCCUCACAUAGCUGGUACCACAACCCACAGCUGGCUUCCCCUGGAGCCCCCGACCUCCCCGGGGCCCAAAACGGCACUACUGAGAUUUAGAUCACGCUGCCCGCCUGGCCCCCACCUCUGGCGCCUCUCUGCUUGGUCUCAGCCUCUGCUCCAACUGGUGGUGCUUACGCUCCGCUAGGUAACCUGCAGCGUGCCGUGUGACCCAGUCACUUUGACCAUGGCCCCCGGUAAGAAAUAUGUUUUACCUCACAACCUGGCUGGCAGAAGUACCUACACACACACGUUUCACAAGUAAUACUUAUUCCUAGUAGGUGUAUGUAGCAUCCUCGUUGCUUUUUCUGUUUGUUUCUUUUUUUUUUAAUUUUUUAACGUUUUUUUUUUUAAUUUAUUUUUG